rnacentral:misc_RNA from 1 species
AUGGCCGCCGAAGAGAUAAAAGCUUGGGGAUAAAUUGUAUGCAGCGAUUUUGUGGUGUUUCGCAAUUUGAAGAGGAUGUAGAUCUGGUGUUACAGAUACCUUUACAGAAACUGUAAUUAGGGAUGUGAUUUAUGAAGCCAUUUCAUAAAUGUGUCGGACUCCAGUAAAGGAAAGGUCGACAAAGCACUCGACGCUUCAAAUUUCGCGCACCUGCUUCCACGCUACCCACUGAAUUGAUUUUUAGUGGUUCGAAUUGUUUUGUGAGACCGUAUCGGUUCGGCUAAAGGCGUUUAUUUCUUACUAGGGUCUUGUUGAAAUCAAAAACAAUGUUUAUUGAAACUCUUGAAUUCACUAUUCCAAUUGAUUUGUGUAGUUUAUGUGCUACUCUACAGAAGGGAAGCUCCGAUAUGGAAUUCCCGGCUUCCGUCAACUCUUACGGCACAACACAAGAUGCAAACAUUUCGGUUCUUGUAAAAUCAAAUAAAUUGACUUUCAAAGUUGAUGGCGUGUCAUCAGGUGCAAGUGUGAUAUCAAAAAGUGAAUGCAAAACAUUGAAACUAUCAGUCUUUGAUGUAGAUAGAUCACUGAUGCCGCAGGAAAGCACAGACUUUGAUCUAAAUUCUAGCAGUGUGGAUCAUUCAUUACCAACUGUAAACCCAGGCAAAAGAACUCAUGAACAGUCUGUUACAAUGCCAGUGCAAGCAAAAUCAAGUAGAAAUUCAUUUCAUGACUCUCCGAAGAGGACAAAAACCAAAUCUCCAAACCCCCGUCGAGGGUUCAGCUUUCAGAACAGUCAACAUUCGUCCAACAACAUAAGACCACUCGGUAAUGUUACAGUUAAAACAGAGCCAGGAGAACCUGACUUGAUAGAAAUCGAGCCUCCUCCACAGACUGCUGAUGGUGUCAAGAAAGAAGUUCCAUACAUGCAAAUAGACUUUUCAUCAGAUGUACCUCACACGCAAACGUCCCAAUCAGCUUUAGAUCGACUUUCUCAUACACAGCCCACUCAUUCACCCGGUUCUUCAUCCUCAUCGUACCAACAAAAUGUUCCACAUGUGCCAGAUUACACCAAACCCAGUACUAGUCAAGCAGGAUAUAGUGACCAAAAUGCAGAUGACUUUUUAGUAUUCCAGGAUGAAAACGACGAUGGCGAUGACAACGAAGUUGAUUUCAGCAAUGACGGUCAUGGCUUGAGUUCAGAUCAGGAUUUGUCCAGACAUUCAGGUCAAGGUCAUUUGUUUUACCCCAUUGGACAACAGUCCCUUGACCCGAGACUUACAUUUUCUGACAAUUCAGAAACAUUUUCCUCCAUGAAACGGCAGUGGCAGUGCGAUGAAUGUGGCAAGAGUUUCACCAAUCCUAGCAACAAGAAGUACCACAUGGAGGCUGUCCAUGGGAUAGGGAAUGUCAAGACAUAUGUGUGUGUUUGUGGGAAGGUGUACAAGUACCCCCGCGGGCUGUUUGGUCAUAGGAAGAAGUGUGCCAUAGCGAUGGAGCAUGGAAACAAUAUAUAAUCAGGUUUGGGACUGAUUCCAAGCCAGACUUUAUCAGGGGCAGAUAUCCAGGCUAUAUCGGGGGCAGAUAUCAACGCUGACUUUGGGAAAAUAUAUGGAAGUUCAUUUACUAAGAAUUUUGACGAAUACCUUUCUUUGCCGCUUGGUGACAGUACUUCGUUGAAAAGACUUUGGCAGUGCGAACAUUGCGGCAAAACAUUCACAAAUUCCAAUAACAAAAAGUUUCACAUUGAGGCCGUCCAUGGAACUAAGACUUACACUUGUGUUUGUGGGAAGCAGUAUAAAUAUCCGUGUAACUUGAUCAGACACAGGAAUGACUGCUCUGUGGCCAAACAAGUUGCCAGUCAAUCCGACAGUGUACAACAAUAGUCUUCAUCUGACAGGUUUCGGAAUCCGAUGGAACCAAAGGUCCAACAACCACUCUUACCAUGACAUGUACAGAGGAGAAGAUUCUAGAACUAUACUGUCUUCACAGCAGGUCCUACCUUUUCUCAGUAAAACAAUGCAACUAUUUCCCGAUGAUUUCUCUGUGGACUGUAACAAGAAAGGGCUGUAUGUCUGCGAACACUGUGGCAAGACCUUCACGCGACCUCAGAACAAACAGAUCCACGUGGAAAGUGUCCACGGCAACACGACAUAUUCCUGUGUCUGUGGUAAAGUGUACCGACAUCCUAGAGCCUUGCAGAGACACAAGAAGACAUGUUCGGCUUGUCACUCAUGACAUGGUCAUGGAAGGGAAAUCUUUGUAAGUCGGAGAAAUAUAGAGAAACAUGUUCACAGAUGACAGCUUCUGGUGUCCAUGGAAACGUGGUUGAUGCCACGAGGAUGAGCAGCAGAUGUCAGACUCCCUGGUACAAGAAAUAUGGAUGACAUUGUUCAUAAUGCUUUGUUGCAGACUUGUGAAGAUCUGAGUUGGAAUUGGUCCACAGCAACUUCCUCUUGUCAUAAAAGGCAACUAAUGG